CCUCCCUCAAUUCAAAUUCCUAUAAUAGGGUGCUUAUGUUGAAGUCAUAUGUGAGGGUUUUUAUCCCAAUCAAGUAAAUAGAGUGAGAAAGAAAAAUUUAUAUACAUGAUUGAGCUUACAAUUUAAUGUCUUAAGCUUUUGGAUCGAGUUAGAUUGCAAUAUUUAUAGCAAGGACUCCUAUAUUGGACCCAUUAUUCCCCUAG
rnacentral:lncRNA from 1 species